UACGUAGGGGGCGAGCGUUGUCCGGAUUUAUUGGGCGUAAAGAGCGUGUAGGCGCCAGGUAGGUCUGCUGUGAAAACUCGAGGCUCAACCUCGAGACGUCGGCGGAAACCAUCUGGCUAGAGUCCGGAAGAGGAGAGUGGAAUUCCUGGUGUAGCGGUGAAAUGCGCAGAUAUCAGGAAGAACACCCGUGGCGGAAGGCGGCUCUCUGGACGUACUGACGCUGAGACGCGAAAGCGUGG
rnacentral:rRNA from 1 species